rnacentral:rRNA from 1 species
UGGGGAAUAUUGGACAAUGGGGGCAACCCUGAUCCAGCCAUGCCGCGUGCGUGAAGAAGGCCUUAGGGUUGUAAAGCGCUUUCAGCGGGGACGAUGAUGACGGUACCCGCAGAAGAAGCCCCGGCUAACUCCGUGCCAGCAGCCGCGGUAAUACGGAGGGGGCAAGCGUUGUUCGGAAUUACUGGGCGUAAAGGGCGCGUAGGCGGCACAUCAAGUCAGUUGUUAAAGACUGCAGCUCAACUGUGGGCGAGCAACUGAAACUGAUGAACUAGAGUGCGGUAGGGGUAGAGGGAAUUCCCAGUGUAGCGGUGAAAUGCGUAGAUAUUGGGAAGAACACCAGUGGCGAAGGCGCUCUACUGGGCCGCAACUGACGCUGAGGGACGAAAGCUAGGGGAGCGAAAGGGAUUAGAUACCCCCGUAGUCC